UACAGAGGUCCCAAGCGUUGUUCGGAUUCACUGGGCGUAAAGGGUGCGUAGGCGGUUCCGCAAGUCCUGUGUGAAAUCUUCGGGCUCAACUCGAAGUCUGCACGGGAAACUGCGGGGCUUGAGUGUGGGAGAGGUGAGUGGAAUUCCCGGUGUAGCGGUGAAAUUCGUAGAUAUUGGGAAGAACACCGGUGGCGAAGGCGGCCAACUGGACCACAACUGACGCUGAGGCGCGAAAGCGUGGGGAGCAAACAGG
rnacentral:rRNA from 1 species